rnacentral:rRNA from 1 species
AUUGAACGCUGGCGGCAGGCCUAACACAUGCAAGUCGAACGAGUGGCGGACGGGUGAGUAAUGUCUGGGAAACUGCCCGAUGGAGGGGGAUAACUACUGGAAACGGUAGCUAAUACCGCAUACCAUCGGAUGUGCCCAUAUGGGAUUAGCUAGUAGGGGGGGUAACGGCUCACCUAGGCGACGAUCCCUAGCUGGUCUGAGAGGCUGACCAGCCACACUGGAACUGAGACACGGCCCAGACUCCUACGGGAGGCAGAAGUGGGGAAGAUUGCACAAGGGGCGCAAGCCUGAGGCAGCCAUGCCGCGUGUAUGAAGAAGGCCUUGGGGUUGUAAAGUACUUUCAGCGAGGAGGCGUUACUCGCAGAAGAAGCACCGGCUAACUCCGGGCCAGCAGCCGCGGUAAUUC